rfam:Puccinia sorghi strain RO10H11247 Scaffold_1033, whole genome shotgun sequence.
GUGUACUUAGCUUAAUGGUUAGAGCAUCACUCAUGAAUCCUGAGGUUGUGGGUUCAAGUCCCACAGUACAAA